GUAGGGCGGGACACGUGGUAUCCUGUCUGAAUAUGGGGGGACCAUCCUCCAAGGCUAAAUACUCCUGACUGACCGAUAGUGAACCAGUACCGUGAGGGAAAGGCGAAAAGAACCCCGGCGAGGGGAGUGAAAAAGAACCUGAAACCGUGUACGUACAAGCAGUGGGAGCACGCUUAGGCGUGUGACUGCGUACCUUUUGUAUAAUGGGUCAGCGACUUAUAUUCUGUAGCAAGGUUAACCGAAUAGGGGAGCCGAAGGGAAACCGAGUCUUAACUGGGCGUUAAGUUGCAGGGUAUAGACCCGAAACCCGGUGAUCUAGCCAUGGGCAGGUUGAAGGUUGGGUAACACUAACUGGAGGACCGAACCGACUAA
rnacentral:rRNA from 1 species